rnacentral:lncRNA from 7 species
GCGGAGAAGUGGGAACGAACGGGGCUCCGCGGCCGGGGUUGGAACGGAACGACGGACGAAUGAAGCCCCAGGUCGAGCCUGCGGCACCCGGGUGUCACAUCCGGCGGGACGACGCCGAUGUCUCGGACGACAUGCGCAUAUGCGCCUUAACUCCCUCGUGAUUCCGCCCGUCGCGCGCGUCCCUGUCGCCGGCCGGCCGUAAACGUAUCCCUCUCGCCACCCUUAAUUCGCCGCGGGUCGCUCGUCGCUCGGCCGGGCUAACGGUACGUACGUGGAUCGGUUGGGGCAUAACUGUUUCCGGAUAAAUGCGCCGAGGGACACGUGUCGACCGGCCGGCAUGCGCAGAUGCAGCAGGCAGCUAUAUUAGCAGAGCAGGCCACAGCGAGCCGAUCGAUCGAUCCAGUGGGGGGUCUCUCUCUCUCUCUUCACGCAACCUGCUAUCGGUGGCGGUGGGUUGGGAGCCAAUGCACAGCGGCGUGACGACGAGAAAGAGCUAGCGCCAUCGGCCGACGACGAGAACAAAAUAUUGUAGGCGGGUUGUUUUCGGCGGGUCGUUUUACAUGCAUCGUACAACUGCUGCUGCGCGUACAAUCUUUCGGCGUCCGUGUCCUUGUCGUGCAUAAACUCUACGCAAAUAUUCUUCGCUCCAACUAAUCAGGAUAUUAACGUCACUUUCUCG